GGGAGGAAGAAGAAGAAGGAGAGGAGGAGGAUUAUGAAGGAGAGGAGGAGGUUUAUGAAAGAGAGGAGGACUAUGAAGGAGAGGAGGAGGACUAUGAAGGAGUGGAGGAGGGCUGUGAAGAAGAGGAAGAGGAUGAAGACAAAGAGGAGGACGAGGAGGAGGCUGAGGAUGAGGACAAGGAGGAGAAGGAAAAGGACAACAAAGAGGAUGCAGAAAUUGCUUGUGGCGCCUGUUCUGCUGAGCAUAGAGUAUGGGAUACGGCUACUGAGGAUAAACUGGAAUACCUUUUCCAAGAACGUCUCCCAAUAUCUGAAUUAUUCUUCUCUAAAGAAGCGGCUGAAUAUAAGUAUGAAAAUUC
rnacentral:lncRNA from 1 species